GUUUACAAAAGCAAGAGCGGUAGCAAGCAGGACAGGGAGAAGACAGCAAGCAUUAGAUGUGCUCUGCACGCAUGCAACAGAACAAGCUAUCUUGCUCAGGCAGAGGAAUUUAUAGCCCAGUCCUGAGGAGGCUUAAGAAAACGAAGAUUGGAAUAUUGGGGAUUACAUGAUUUCCAGGUGGCUUGUGCUAAUUCUUCAAUUUUAUAUCAGUGAAAAGUCACAGGACAGUUCAAGAUCCAUCCUUCUGUGGCCACAAAAAUCAUAAAAGAAUCGCCCCAAAUGGGGUGCGCUGAGGUCACCAUCUCCCCAGCCACUUCCUCUGUAAUGGCUCUGAUUACAGCACCUAUUGUUAUUAUCACCGUCAGAUAUCCUGGGGAAGAGUUUCAAGCUCUAAAACUCCUGAGGCAAGCAUGAUUACUUUAUAAUAAGAAGAGAGCAAGUGGUGUAG
rnacentral:lncRNA from 1 species